GCCAGCAAUUCAUCCAUUAUAGUGUAGAUAUUUCCUACCCUGGUACAAAGUCCAGUUCCCACGGAGACAUCUGCUCUGGAAAUAUUUUUAAAGACAAACUUCAGCAGUCAAGAUGAUUGAUUGGAUGGUAGAGUAAUGGAGAUAGAUAAGUCAGCAAUGGCUCUGUGUGGGAACAAUGAUCCACACUGCCCAGGAGAUGGACGGCUGCCUUCUGGAAGAGUGACUGCCUUCUCAACACUGCUGCCUGCUGAGUGAUGAUUUAGUAACUGUCCUGCAUCAAAUUUAAUUCUGCAGUGGGCUCCAUGUGCGUUUUGUGGGCUCAUGAUCCAUAUCAUGAGAACCGAAAACAUUUUAUUUACCACUUACAUAGACAAAGAAGACUGAUGGAGAAGUCACACUGUGUCUUCCAUUCUCCCGGUGACAGCAAUCAAAUGUCCCGAGGACUGUGACUGUCGAAUAGUUAACUUCACGUUUGCAGCGUUAUCUCUACGGUGGGCCUUCCUCGUUAAUUGGACGGCAGCUUCAAGUUAAAGCUUAUGCUACAUUUCCCUAAUUCCAUGACAAAGACAACAUGAGCAAGGGGCUGUCACAUAUUUCAAAAUUGUGUCAUGUUUUGCUGAAUAUUU